GACGAACUUUGGCGGCAUGCUUAACACAUGCAAGUCGAACGGAAAGGCCCUGCUUUUGUGGGGUGCUCGAGUGGCGAACGGGUGAGUAACACGUGAGUAACCUGCCCUUGACUUUGGGAUAACUUCAGGAAACUGGGGCUAAUACCGGAUAGGAGCUCCUGCUGCAUGGUGGGGGUCGGAAAGUUUCGGCGGUUGGGGAUGGACUCGCGGCUUAUCAGCUUGUUGGUGGGGUAGUGGCUUACCAAGGCUUUGACGGGUAGCCGGCCUGAGAGGGUGACCGGCCACAUUGGGACUGAGAUACGGCCCAGACUCCUACGGGAGGCAGCAGUGGGGAAUAUUGCACAAUGGGCGGAAGCCUGAUGCAGCAACGCCGCGUGCGGGAUGACGGCCUUCGGGUUGUAAACCGCUUUCGCCUGUGACGAAGCGUGAGUGACGGUAAUGGGUAAAGAAGCACCGGCUAACUACGUGCCAGCAGCCGCGGUGAUACGUAGGGUGCGAGCGUUGUCCGGAUUUAUUGGGCGUAAAGGGCUCGUAGGUGGUUGAUCGCGUCGGAAGUGUAAUCUUGGGGCUUAACCCUGAGCGUGCUUUCGAUACGGGUUGACUUGAGGAAGGUAGGGGAGAAUGGAAUUCCUGGUGGAGCGGUGGAAUGCGCAGAUAUCAGGAGGAACACCAGUGGCGAAGGCGGUUCUCUGGGCCUUUCCUGACGCUGAGGAGCGAAAGCGUGGGGAGCGAACAGGCUUAGAUACCCUGGUAGUCCACGCUGUAAACGGUGGGUACUAGGCGUGGGGUCCAUUCCACGGGUUCCGUGCCGUAGCUAACGCUUUAAGUACCCCGCCUGGGGAGUACGGCCGCAAGGCUAAAACUCAAAGGAAUUGACGGGGCCCCGCACAAGCGGCGGAGCAUGCGGAUUAAUUCGAUGCAACGCGUAGAACCUUACCUGGGUUUGACAUGGAUCGGGAGUGCUCAGAGAUGGGUGUGCCUCUUUUGGGGUCGGUUCACAGGUGGUGCAUGGCUGUCGUCAGCUCGUGUCGUGAGAUGUUGGGUUAAGUCCCGCAACGAGCGCAACCCUUGUUCACUGUUGCCAGCACGUUAUGGUGGGGACUCAGUGGAGACCGCCGGGGUCAACUCGGAGGAAGGUGGGGAUGACGUCAAGUCAUCAUGCCCCUUAUGUCCAGGGCUUCACGCAUGCUACAAUGGCUGGUACAGAGAGUGGCGAGCCUGUGAGGGUGAGCGAAUCUCGGAAAGCCGGUCUCAGUUCGGAUUGGGGUCUGCAACUCGACCUCAUGAAGUCGGAGUCGCUAGUAAUCGCAGAUCAGCAACGCUGCGGUGAAUACGUUCCCGGGGCU
rnacentral:rRNA from 1 species